GGCUCGGUAGCUCAGUUGGUAGAGCAGAGGACUGAAAAUCCUUGUGUCGUCGGUUCGAUUCCGACCUGAGCCACCA
rnacentral:tRNA from 2 species